rnacentral:lncRNA from 1 species
CCUUCUUCUUUUUUUUUUCUUUAUUAUUCCUUUUGGUUCUGAUAAUGAAAUGUUCCCUUUUAUUUUUCUUUUUCUAAUUUGUAAAAUAUAGUUUUACAAUGCAGUACAACUACUGCGGGGCCUGCUAUAUUGUCAGCACCACUUCAAUGAAUUUUUUUACUUUUUAUAGCUAUACUUUUGCAGAGUUUAAUUUAUUUGCAGCUGAAUUUCUGCUUGGUUACUAGGUUUAACUACUUACUCUGUC